rnacentral:rRNA from 1 species
GACGAACGCUGGCGGCGUGCUUAACACAUGCAAGUCGAACGAUGAAGCCUUUCGGGGUGGAUUAGUGGCGAACGGGUGAGUAACACGUGGGUAAUCUGCCCUGCACUCUGGGAUAAGCCCGGGAAACUGGGUCUAAUACCGGAUAUGACUUUCUUACGCAUGUAGGAAGGUAGGAAAGUUCCGGCGGUGCAGGAUGAACCCGCGGCCUAUCAGCUUGUUGGUGGGGUAAUGGCCUACCAAGGCGACGACGGGUAGCCGGCCUGAGAGGGCGACCGGUCACACUGGGACUGAGACACGGCCCAGACUCCUACGGGAGGGCAGCAGUGGGGAAGUAUUUGCACAAUGGGCGAAAGCCUGAUGCAGCGACGCCGCGUGAGGGAUGACGGCC